UCUUCGUUAAGUAGCCAUCUUUUAAUGUUUCCAUUAAUUCAUGUGAUUUUUUUUUUUUUUUUUAAGUAGUAAAAUCAAAAGAAAAUAGAUACCCAUUAGAAACUGCACAAAGACAUGGCUACCUCAGGUCUGCUUAUUUAGGUGGACUGAAAACUGGGAAUGGAGAGGGCAGGUAUGACGAGGUAGAAGAAGAGAAACUGCUAGGCCAAGAAGGUUUUCACCACAAAAAUGACUGCUGAGUUCAUCCAAGCACCUGCUGAGUUAAAGUCAGUCACUUGUUCAAAUACCAAAGAAACAUCUCAUCAGACCAGUACUAAGCACUCAGCACAGUUUGCUAUUAAGGGAUUUUAUCUCUUGCAGAAGUAUCCAAUAAAACAAAGUGAAAUUGAA